rfam:Salmo salar isolate Sally breed double haploid chromosome ssa17, whole genome shotgun sequence.
CCUAAUUACUCCUGUAAGUUGCUCUGGAUAAGAGUGUCUGCUAAAUGACUAAAA